GGUCGGACCUCAGGGAGGAUGUAUGUAGUGUGUUGUGGUAUGCAUUCGCAUGCAUAUUGUAUACUACACUACAUACUUUGUAAGGGCAGCUGCAGUACAAACUAAAA